rnacentral:rRNA from 1 species
CAAGGUCAAGCCGUGGCGAGUAACGAGUUUAAACGACAAGUUUGGGCGGCAUAAGAUCGUUGAUCUUAAGACUGACCAGAGCAGUUGCGCUGGGACCCGAAAGGUGGUGAACUAUGCCUGAGUAGGCAAAGCAGAGGAAACUCUGUGGAGGCUCGUACGGUGCUGACGUGCAAAUCGCUCGUCGAACUUGGGUAUAGGGCGAAAGACUAAUCGAACCAUCUAGUAGCUGGUUCCCUCCGAAGUUUCUCUCAGGAUAGCGGGCCGACAAGUUGUUUUGUGCGGUAAAGCGAAUGAUUAGCGCAUUUGGGGGCGUUUAGCCUUCGGGCGAUUCUCAAACUUUCAAUGCGCAAGGGUGCCGCUGCUUAAUUGAGCGGUACCGGUAAAAACGUCGACCCNGUGGGCCACUUUUGGUAAGCAGAACUGGCGAUACGGGAUGAACCGUAAGCAAGGUUAAGGCGCCAAACUGCCCGCUUAUAGAUCCCACAAAAGGUGUUGAUUCAUCGAGACAGCAGGACGGUGGCCAUGGAAGUCGGAAUCCGCCAAGGAGUGUGUAACAACUCACCUGCCGAAUGAAUUAGCCCUGAAAAUGGAUGGCGCUGAAGCGGCGGCCGACACCUUGCCGUCUGAACAAGAAUUUCAGAUGAGUAGGAGGGCGUGGCGAUCGUGUCGAAGCACGCGUGCAGACGCAUGUGGAACGGUCGCUAGUGCAGAUCUUGGUGGUAGUAGCAAGUAUUCAAGCGAGAUCCUUGAAGGGCGAAGUGGGGAAGGGUUUCACGCGAACAUUGAUUGGGCGUGAGUGAGUCGUUCCUAAGCCGCGUGGCAAUUGCUAAUUACCGGCGAAAGGGAAGCGGGUUGACAUUCCCGCACACGGAUGUGGAGGCGGCGACGCAUUAUUGGGGCGAACACGCUGGCGAUGGCGCUGGGCAGAGUUGUCUUUUCUGUUUGACCGCUUGCGCACGCAGUGUGGAAUUCUCUUGUAGGGAGAAACACSCGUGUACGGCCAGAGCGCUGGGGCUUUUCCAGCGUCANUCGCAUNACGGCCUUGAACU